UAUAUAGUACGGAAGAUAGAUGCUCACAGAGCUUAAUAGGGAAUCCGGUGCGACUCCGGAGCUGCCCCCGCAACUGUAAGUAUCCGCGAAACAGCGUCUCCACUGUAGAUCACUACGGGAAGGGCUGGAGUAAGAUCGGAUACGAGCCAGGAGACCUGUCUGUUUUUCGUCAGGAAAG
rnacentral:ncRNA from 19 species